GACGAGCUUGUUUCCGGCCGGAGGUGUGAGUGUCGCACCCCAUAAGCAGCGAGGACCGACACACGCCAUUGUAUGAAUUUGUGCAUUCGCGUCUUUUUCGUUUAGUUUUAUUAAGGUUUUAUGUGCAGUUAGAUUUAACAGUCCCUUGUUACAUCAUCGACUCCCGUUUUUAAGGACAAAAUUUUAUUUACAAUUAAGGACAUGGCAUCAGAUUCGUGGGCCCAGGCUGUCGAUGAACAAGAAGCCGCAGCGGAAUCGAUAGGCAACUUGCAAAUAAAUGAAAAAGAUGACAAACCGAAAGCUGUAGCGAAUGGGGCAAAGACAGAAGGAGAUGGAGAGAAGACGGAGGACGAUGAUAAAGAUGACAAGGCAGCACAGUCACUACUGAAUAAACUGAUCCGCAGUAAUCUAGUGAACACGACCAAUCAAGUUGAAGUCCUUCAGAGGGAUCCGACCUCUCCGCUGUACUCCGUCAAGUCGUUUGAAGAGCUACGAUUGAAACCUCAGCUACUGCAAGGAGUGUAUGCCAUGGGUUUCAACAGGCCCUCCAAAAUCCAGGAGACCGCAUUGCCCAUGAUGCUCGCAGAACCUCCACAGAAUCUGAUCGCUCAGUCUCAGUCAGGCACGGGUAAAACGGCUGCCUUUGUGCUGGCCAUGUUAAGUCACGUGGACCCUGAAAACAAAUGGCCUCAGUGUCUGUGUGUGUCCCCCACAUACGAGCUCGCCCUACAGACGGGCAAGGUCAUCGAACAGAUGGGCAAAUUUUACCCUGAAGUCCAACUGGUGUAUGCCAUCAGAGGAAACAAAUUGGAGCGGGGAACAAAAUUACAGGAACAGAUCGUGAUUGGCACGCCUGGCACUGUUUUGGAUUGGUGCCAGAAGCUUAAAUUCAUCGACCCCAGGAAGAUCAAGGUGUUCGUCCUGGAUGAAGCUGAUGUCAUGAUCGCCACACAGGGCCAUCAAGACCAGAGCAUUCGUAUCCAGAGGAUGCUUCCUAAAACUUGCCAGAUGCUGCUGUUCUCUGCCACAUUUGAAGACACCGUGUGGAACUUCGCAAAGAGGAUCGUUCCCGACCCCAACAUCAUUAAACUGAAGCGCGAGGAGGAAACUCUAGACACCAUCAAGCAGUACUACGUCAUCUGCAACAGCAAGGAGGAGAAAUUCCAGGCUUUGUGCAACAUCUACGGAGCCAUUACUAUCGCACAGGCCAUGAUCUUCUGCCACACCAGGAAAACCGCCGGGUGGCUGGCAGGAGAGCUGUCCAGAGAAGGCCACCAGGUGGCGCUGCUCAGUGGAGAGAUGCAGGUGGAACAGAGGGCAGCGGUCAUCGAACGCUUUCGCGAUGGCAAGGAGAAAGUUCUCGUUACCACUAACGUCUGUGCUAGAGGUAUUGAUGUGGAGCAAGUUUCAGUCGUCAUCAACUUUGAUCUGCCAGUGGACAAGGAUGGAAACCCUGACAAUGAGACAUACUUGCACAGAAUCGGGCGCACUGGGCGAUUUGGCAAGAGGGGGUUGGCGAUAAACAUGGUGGACAGCAGAUUUAGCAUGAACAUCCUCAACCACAUCGAGGAGCACUUCAAUAAGAAAAUCGAGAAGCUGGACACAGAUGAUUUGGAUGAAAUCGAGAAAAUCGCCAACUGAGCGGCCGUCUUUGUUCUUCUAAUAGGACUGUGCUCGCGCUACGUUUUAAAUCAGAGGCUGGAAGCAGAGCUGUGCCAGAGAGGAUGUUUACAUGUGGAGCAGUUUUAUCUCAGAUGGGGUUUUUAUAGGUUUUGUUUAAACACAUUUCACUCUUUGUACUUGUUAAUACAUUUUGAAUGUCUAGUCUUAACGUCACGUGUACGAGAAUGCUACAGCAGCGGUCUGGGAUAGAGGCAUGAGGAAUAUGCCUUUCAAUAUAUCCACAAUUUCAUCGUGAACCUUUUAAAUUGACUUUGCCUUCACACAAAGCGUUAUAUUGAGUUCCAACAUGGGACUCCAAACCAAGGACUCGUAUUGUCGUAAUUGCGGAUGAGAUUUUUGUGGAACGAGCUGAAUUUUCUAUCACAAGCGUGCUACGCUUCAUGAAAAACGAGCUUUUUCCGUCAAGUUUGUGUUGUGUGAACUCUGGGUGCAGCUAUAUGUGAUUUGGUGUGACACUUCAAACUAGGAGUCAAAAUGCAGGGUUUAUUUAACAUAUUGAGAGAUUGCUGUUAUUGUGUUAUACAUUAAUACUUGAUACCUCAUGACAUUGCUACAGAAGGGAUGCUGGCAGUUAUUGGCUUCGAAUUAAACCGAAACGGUUGCCAAAAUCCUUUUAUUGGUAGGAAAUUAUGCAAAAGCCAAAGAUUUGUGCCUCCAUUGGAUUUGCUAGUAUUUAACAUGGAAUAACACAAUCGGAUCUAUUCAUCGUGUACAAAUAUUGUCAUAUUUAAUAAGUACAAAGAGUGAAACUGUUGCUAUAUUUAACAGAUGCAGUGUAAAGAAAGCAGAUGCAUCGCGGCAUUCGUUGUAAGAGUGCUCCGGAGCGGAAGCAUUAUUUGUGUUCCCAGUCCCAGACUGCAUUGAAUUGGAAAUGAUCAUGUUCUCGUACACAAAUGCAACCGAAGGCUGUGCCACAUUCCCAUUUGCAGCCGCCUUAAAAUUGUAAAAGGCAGAUGUUAGCGCAUCCUCUACAAUCUCACUGUAUUCUUCAGGGUAGCCGUAGCAAAUUAUUAUUUUAUAUUAUGGGACAUUUUAAUUUAACCACUCGAAACUCAACCGGCUCCAUUAUAUAUGCAUUAUGAUAGACGUAUAUUUUAUUCGUUGGUAUGCGAGUAGUGAGGUUGGGGUAAAGUGUGUCAGUCGCAUCUUUGAAGGGAAGACUUUUCUUAAUCGAUUAAAUAUAUCUCCUGAUGCCUUGUUCAUUUUCUCAGUUUGGUUCAAGCUGUCAAUCAUACCUGUUACAAUGAUAUUAAAUGGAGGGUUUUAUUUUUUUGUUUGC